UCUCUGGAGACGAGGGUGGUCACUGAUCCUGGACAAGCCCCAAAUGAAAGACCCCCAAAGUAGGGAGACCCUCACUCAAGUCUUGGGAUGACUCAACCCCCCAAGAACUCACGAGAGACC
rnacentral:pre_miRNA from 14 species